rnacentral:misc_RNA from 1 species
UUAAGUUCAGCGCGUAUUCCUACCUGAUCCGAGGUCAACCUUGAGAAGUUUCCUGCUGAGAGGAGAAGACCGGAUCCCGGGCGCCCUUAUCCGAUACGUGCUCGAUGAAAAGCUCAGUGUACCGGGGGGACCACAGGCCGCCGUCAUUGUCUUUCGGAGGGGUCGAUCGCUCAACCGGCCGUCCAACACCAAGCACGGGG